rnacentral:rRNA from 1 species
UGGGGAAUAUUGCACAAUGGGCGAAAGCCUGAUGCAGCGACGCCGCGUGAGGGAAGACGGUCUUCGGAUUGUAAACCUCUGUCUUCGGUGACGACCAAAGACGGUAGCCGAGGAGGAAGCCACGGCUAACUACGUGCCAGCAGCCGCGGUAAUACGUAGGUGGCAAGCGUUGUCCGGAAUUACUGGGUGUAAAGGGAGCGCAGGCGGGUAGACAAGUCAGGUGUGAAAAUUAUGGGCUUAACCCAUAACUUGCAUUUGAAACUGUUUAUCUUGAGCGGAGUAGAGGCAGGCGGAAUUCCGAGUGUAGCGGUGAAAUGCGUAGAGAUUCGGAGGAACACCAGUGGCGAAGGCGGCCUGCUGGGCUCUAACUGACGCUGAGGCUCGAAAGUGUGGGUAGCAA